GAAGAUCCGGCGCAGCUAAAGUCAGUGGAAGGUAGAAAGACGCCACAGCCGCCUUUCGACAACUUUUUGUUACAAAAGUGGAGAUCUACACGGAGGCGACGGCCUAGGUCGCUCUGACAGGACCCAACGACCCUCCUGACGCGUCCACCCGUCCUCGCUAGCAGGGUCCCCCAGCGGGCUCUCGACCUGCGCCACCAGAGUUCCACUCUUUUUGUCGACAAUAAUAUGGCGCCCAAACACGUGGGGCCUCAGAGAAGACUCUGGAUCCGGAAGGAGUAUCCCAAAACCAGAGCUAAGGUACCAGCUGGAGCCCACUGAAGCCUCACCGAGUUUGGGCUUCUCCUCCUGUGGAACUGGAAACCAAAAUCAUGGUAUUUUGAAAACCAGAGGUAUGAAUCUCCCUCGUUUGGCAUCCCACUGGGCCUGGACCUGUUUCACUGCUAAUGUUCUGCUGCCAAAACUAUACAAGCUGCCUGGACUAUUGCAGAAGAGAGACAGAGUCUUGCUCUGUUGCCCAGAAUGGAAUGCAGUAGCACAAUCCUAACUAAUCGUAACCUUGAACUCCUGGGUUCAAGCGAUCCUCCUGCCUCAGCCUCCUCAGUAUAGGACUACAGGCGUGCCCAGAAUUCCAGAUACUCAAGGUUGGAGAGCUACUAACCCAGUACAUGAAUUCCCAGUGUAUCUUUCAGUGUUCUGAACCUGUAUUUUACAUUUUCAGAAAAGUUGACCACAGAAGCAUGUUUAUAUUGUAUUAAAACAAACUAUUUUUCUGGAAAGUUUUCCCAUUAAGCGUCUAACCUCCAAGCAUCGAAUCCCAGGCCAAUUUGUUUCAAAGUACCAACCUGGAGAAAAUGCCCUGGAUUUGGAAGCAAAGUAUUGAAUGUUGGAAGUCUGAAUAAAGGAAUCAUACACUGUAUGUGCACCUGAAUGUACUUUACAAGCAUCAGUAGAACACUUCUGAUUGAAGCUUGGUCUUAUGAAGAUAAAAAUUUUAUGUGGACCACAGAUUCUCUAAAAAUCAAUGCUUCCUGUCCUCAAACAUCGGACUCCAAAUUCUUCAGCUUUGGGACGGACUGGCUUCCUUGCUCCUCAGCUUGCAGACAGCCGACUGUGGGACCUUGUGAUCAUAAUACCACAGUCUGGAGGCUAUGAAGUCCAUGAUUAAGAAGCCAGCACGUUUGCUUUCUGGUUCCAAGAUGGCAUACCUUUUUGCUGCUUCCUCCAGAGAGGAGGAACACUGUGUUCUCACAUAGUAGAAGAUGGAAGGAGCAGAUGCAGAUGAGCAUGGCAAUGUGAGAAUAUGUCAGAGGCCCCAGGAUGAAAUGAGCUCAAGUCCCUGAAAUCCCUGUUAGAAGAGUCUUUCCACUGGUUGGGAAUGCUAAUUGUAUUUUGACAACUCAAUGUUUCAGCAACUCAAAAUGUUACAGCUUCUGCAUUGGAAUAAAAAAAGGAAAGAAAACAGAAUUUGUACUCAUAUCAGAAGGCAAUCAAAGAACAUACACAUAAUAUACAUUCUAUUAUAGAGGCAUGUAUCUUAGCAUGCAGAGAAGGGACUGAAUGAAUAUGCCCAAAGAUGUGUAACACUCAUUGUCUCUGGGGAGAUGAAGAAGAAGUAUGGAAGAAGUAAGAUGAAGAAGAAGUAUGGAAGAAGUAAGUUGUCUGUGUAACCUCAUUCUUCCUGGACAUGGGACAAGAACUUGGGACCCGCUGAAUGAUGGGAGCAAAAGGAGCUGUAUCAUGUUCCUGGCCAGCUGGCUAAACUGCAGAUGGUGACAUGCUCCCAGACUGUGGGAGUGAAGAGUGGCAACCCUUCUGGCGGCCCAGACCUUAGCAUUUCCCAGGCAGAGCUGCUGUAAAACUGUAUCCCUCUUGCUCUUUGCUGGCACCAGGCGACUGGCCCACACAAUGGGAAGCAACAGUGGGGCCAGGCCAGCCCAGGAGGUGUGGGCCAGAGUGGGGUGGUGGGACUGAAAAAGCUGUUAGACAAAUGGGCUGAAACAUGCCCCAACUCUUGCCAUGCUGCAAGGGUUGAGGAGGGAAGAGCUGUCACCCUGCUGGGAUCCCAGAACUCAGGGCUCCCCAAGCCAGGAAUGUGCCAUGCUGUAACACCCUCUUUGGGGCUCUGGGGUUCCUGGUGUCUCCAAGCUUUUGAGUGUCACUGCAUUCUCUUUGUCAAGAUGCUGGUGCCCGCAGCAGAAGCUGCUUAUUGUACGUGUGGUCCAGCCACAGCCUUGCACAGAGCUGGCACCUGUGCUGGUGCCUGAAGCUGCCCCCCCGCUACAGAAAUGAGAAUUCCUGGCUGAGCACAGUGGCCAGACCUGUGCUUGCUUGCUUACACACCUUUUGCCCCUCCGUGCCUGGCUUGCCCUUUAGCAGGCAUGGGAUCCGGGCCAGAAGCAUGAACCAAGUGCAGCCUGCUGGGCUGAGUGGGCUGAACAAGCCAGCCAGUGUGAGUAAAACUCAAGCAGAGGUGCCACCAGCUCUAGAGGUUUCCAGUUGGUGAAGCGACACUCUAAGGAUCCUGUGACCCUCUCUCUCUUGAUGAUCUGAAAUUUCCAUCUCCAUGUAAUUAAAAAUAUAAAAAUACAUCCCAAUAACUUUAAUUUUGGCAGGUUAUGAAUGUGAAAUUAGGGCAUGGUGGCAUGCUCUUGUAAUCCUAGUAGCAUUUUGGAAGGCUGAGGCCACAAGUUCAAGGCUGCAGUGCGGAUUAAUUAUGAGCUCCUAAAUGAUAAAAUUACUGUUGUUAACCGUUAGAGAUGUUGGUAAUUACUAGCUAUGUUGAAAGAAUGACUAAAAAUGCAUUAAGCAUGAAAUCAUUAUUAAGCUCAAAUGGGGCAUAUUUAAAAGAGGAAACAUAGACAUCAAAAUAAAGAAAAGAUGUAGUUGAUAUGUCUUAAAUUUGCUUUUAGUUUUGUAUGUUUUCCUUUUGAAAUGAUAAAAAUAUAUCCAAUAAAUAAAGUUGAUAACUCUCCUUUGCUUUUGUCAUAUAUAAUAAUUUUUCCAGAUAAACAGUUUGAUUGUGCAAAUACCAUAGAAUUCUAGGCAGUGAAUCAAUUUAUUCAGGUUUCAUUUUAAAAUGCUUUGUUAGUAUAAGACAGGUAAUAUAUACUUGUGUAUUUUUUCCUCCUUUGUGUCAAGAGCUGUAUAACUGAUUAAUUGUGCUAAUUUAUUAGCUUUAGAACCAUGCAGAAAGAAGAGUGCUUCACAGAAUGAUUGCUUUAUGAAGCAUAAGGAGAAACAGAUGAACAUGUGAACAGUGAAAGAUCUUUUCCAUGGAACUGUGUUCAUCCUCUGAUUAAAACGAAUUGUGUAAAGUUGUAUAUUGUAUUUCACCCUUAGCAUUUGGAAAUGUGCAUGUAAUUUUGGUUUUGGUGCUUCAUUACAAUAAUGCGUAGAAAGAAAAAAGGUAUUUAUAGAAUAUUGCAAAAGCAAAUUUGUAGGAUAAAAUAUGUCUGGCCAUGUGUAUUAGAUACUAGUUAACUCAUAUCAUUACUUCAUUGGUACUUCACUAAAUUAUGUCACAAAAGCAAAUACAGGAUUUUCCAGAGCAUGCUUUUGGAAAAAUCUGAAGUUUUAUUGAGGACUCAUUAAUUUUCCCUGUCCCAUAACUUACAAUUUAUUUCACAAGCAUUAUAAACUUCAGAUCAUUCAGAUAUUGCAUUUUAGUAUUGUAAAUUAUAAGAAUAGAUUUAGAAUGCAUACUUUUUGAGGAUAGGUUGCUUUCCUUAAUGAAAGUAUCAUAUUUUUAGUUUACAGUGAAAUUUAAAGAAUGGUUUAUUAUUUGAGCUACAAUUGCAAAAACUUUAGAUAAUACAUUUAAACUUGGCAUUAGAAAGAAAAAAACUUUCUAAAUAGAAAAACUUUUCAACUUUUCUAUUUUUCAACUAGAAAUUUAUACAGUUAGAAUGUUUUUAAAGAAAAAGUUUUAUCUGUAAGGGAAGUGCUUACUGCCAACAUAUUUCACCAAAGCUUAAAUUCUCAAGAGGACAUGUCAUCCUUAUAAGCAAACCAUUCUGAUUACAUCAAUCACAUUAUAUUACCUUGGGUGACUGACUUGCAUGAGAAACCAGCAGUUGUGACUUGAAUUGCAAUAUGCAAGACAGUAAAAACCAUAUUUUACUUUAAAAUAUAUUAAUGUAUUACUUUUCCUAAUAAAAUACAUUGAAAAUUUUUAUCAGUAGCCAGGAAAUUAUAGAACUAGGCAGUUGUAUUCCUGAAGCACUUUCAGUGUUCAUGAUAAUUAAUUUGAGAAGUAGACUCUUAUCACACAGUAGCAUCUGUUGAACAUUCUUGUUUUUGGUAAAAUUAAUUUCUGACUGAUUCAUGAAAUAAAUGAUAAGGAACAUAAAUUCAGCUCUUUACUGUAUGACUCAUGUAACCUAUGACUUUUUGGGGGAAGUUUCACAUAAUGGGAAUACAUUAAGAAAUGUUUUAAAUAAAAACACAUAUAACUAA